UUCGGCUGUCCAUAAGCCGGAAUUACUGAAGAGGCACACCUUCAUUGCCGGUAGUGCGGAUGGCAUCAUCCAAACCAAGGCAGACAAAGCGGAUCAACGCUGGCUUAGCGUAGAUCCAUCGCCGCAUGAACUU
rnacentral:ncRNA from 1 species